CCUGUAGCGCAAUGUAUAACGCAUUGGACUUCUAAUUCAAAGAAUGUGGGUUUGAAUCCCCCGGGAUGGC